AAACAUUGAAUGCCGGCAUGGCUUUAAUAUUUUCACAGUUACAAGUGAAUUAAAACAUUUUCAUGGACUACCAUUGCUGGUAUUGUGAUCUAUUUAUCACUGUCGUGCGGUUCCUUGCGUUUCACGAUCAUGGUUUCACAGUCUUCAUAACGGCAUCCUAAUAGUAACAGGCUUUUGCAUUUAACAAAUACUGCACGCCUGGGUUUUGAACCCUCGUACUCCGAGUAUCGCGACAUUUGGUGGCCAGUGUGGUCUCGGGCUUGUAUUGCUGUUGGGCUUCGCAACGUAUACAUCUGCAGUUAUGGGCUUGGCGGUAUGUGUCGAACGUCGUGAGGGCGAAUUUUCACCAGCAAA